GACGAACGCUGGCGGCGUGCUUAACACAUGCAAGUCGAACGAAGAGCGAUGGAAGCUUGCUUCUAUCAAUCUUAGUGGCGAACGGGUGAGUAACGCGUAAUCAACCUGCCCUUCAGAGGGGGACAACAGUUGGAAACGACUGCUAAUACCGCAUACGAUCUAAUCUCGGCAUCGAGGAAAGAUGAAAGGUGGCCUCUAUUUAUAAGCUAUCACUGAAGGAGGGGAUUGCGUCUGAUUAGCUAGUUGGAGGGGUAACGGCCCACCAAGGCGAUGAUCAGUAGCCGGUCUGAGAGGAUGAACGGCCACAUUGGGACUGAGACACGGCCCAGACUCCUACGGGAGGCAGCAGUGGGGAAUCUUCCGCAAUGGACGAAAGUCUGACGGAGCAACGCCGCGUGAGUGAUGACGGCCUUCGGGUUGUAAAGCUCUGUUAAUCGGGACGAAAGGCCUUCUUGCGAACAGUUAGAAGGAUUGACGGGACCGGAAUAGAAAGCCACGGCUAACUACGU
rnacentral:rRNA from 1 species